UGCUGCAAAAAUUCUACAGCUGAGUUGGGUCUUUGCAGGAAAAAGUUCUGCAGCAAACACCAUCUUAGACACAGAAGAGUUUGGUCCUGGAAGACAAACUAAGACAUGUACAAGACGUACUGGUGAGGUGGCUGGGAGGCAAGUCACUGUGGUAGAUACACCAGCCCACCUGACAAGGUCAAAGAUGAGAUCUUGAAAGGAGUGUCUCUGUAGUCUCCGGCACCCCAUGCCGUCCUCCUGGUGGUCCCUGCAGACACGCCAUUCACCGAAGAACAAAAACAGAACAUACAUGAGAACAUGGCUAUGUUUGGAGAGGGAGUCUGGACACACACUAUUGUGCUGUUUACCUGGGGAGAAUGGCUAGAAGAAGACAUAACCAUUGAGCAGCACAUUGAAAGUGAAGGGAAGGCUCUCCAGUGGCUUGUUGAGAAAUGUGGGAACAGGUAUCAUGUUCUCAACAAUAAGAACACGGGUGAUGGCACUCAUGUCACAGAGCUGCUGGAGAAGAUAGAGGAAAUAUCCAGAGCAAUGUAAAGGCAGAUGAUGACACCAUUAGUGCAAUCACUCCUGUUGAUGAGUACCAAGAGCUCAAUGGUGGUACAGGGUGAGUUGGAGGAGUUGUUGAGAAUUCUCAAUGAAGAAAGGGAGUGUAAGAACAUGCGGAUGAAGAACAAAACAAGGAAGGCACGGAUCGACAUCUGCGAGACAGGAUGGAAGCGUGGAUCAAGCAAAUAAUUUUGGGAUGGAGAAAUCAGACGAAUCAGAGGACAGGUACAUCCUUCUCGGGAAGAAGGGGAAGAGGAAAUGGAGGAACCAAGGGAGAUGAAUGGAGGGGAAAUUACUUCAACUUUGACAGCAACCACUUCUGCCCACACUGACUCUCAUCCAUCUGUGGUUGGAAAUCCAGUUGGCGGGCAACUUACUGACAGGUUAAAGAACAUGUUGGAGAGGGAGUGGGCCAGACGAGAAGCUGAGAUAAUAUACAAAUUGAAUGUGUCACUUCAGGACAUAAGAGAUAACCUAUACACUUUUCCAUGUCUUUGGCCAGUUUAUUUAAACAAAUGCUGUAUCAUUACCUUAAAAUGGUAUGGUGAUGGAUUCCUGUAUAACUACGACUCUAAUUAAUCAACAUAUACAACAGCCUAAUGAACAACUUCACCAUAUUAAUAUGAACAAACACAUUCACCUUGAUUAGGCGAUGAUGAUUUUAUGACAGUAUUAUUUGUGAUUCUUUAUUUCACAGGUAUGCAGCCAGUGCAGGGUGAUUAUGAGAUUAAGAACAUUAAGGCGUGGCUGAGACAGGUGGAACACUGACAGCUAGGUUAAAAGAGAAAAUAAAGAAAAAGCCUACAUAAACUCUGCUAAGCUACUCCUCAGAAUGGUAUAAUUUACAAUUAACAUUAACCUUCCGAUCUUAAAGGUGCAGUAUGCAGAAAUUGCUCCG